GCUCUGCGACCUAAUGGGGCUGCAGUCCAUGGAGGCCUCAGCAACUGGAGUAUAUGGACACUGCCAUUAAGAUCUGGAGCUCCUUCAGGGCAGAGACCAUGAGUGAUUCACCCAGCAAAGCAUGUGGUGUCCAGAAUAGUGUUUGACAGCAGUGGAUAUUUAGAGAAGAGACCAAGAGAUCAACUUCGGUUGCUUCCUGUGAAGAAUCUAUACGCUUCUUAUGAAGAAUCCUACCUAACAUUACGGAAUGAGUUCUCAAAAUUCUGCAUAGA